UAUCGUCCUCUUCAAUAUCAAGCAUGUUCUUCUCGGAAUCAAUAGCCCUUUCGGUUUCUAUGGAGGAGUAAUUUCUACAUCUCCCCAUCUUAACUCUAUCGACCAUUAAAGCAUCAAAAUCGUAACACUUCAUUUCUUCAUUCCUAUAUAUACCAUCGUGGUAAACACAGAAUCCCUUCAUCUCCAAUACAGUCUCCGCCGUCAUAGAUUAUACCAACUCCUCCAAAGUGUCUGUCUGUGGUGCUCCAGUUCCUGAAGCCGCUGUCCUCCUCCACUCAACGUUGGACUCGCUCAACACCAAACGGUGAAUUUAUGGAAAUCACUCAUCUCUUCUUAGAUGAAAAGGAUUCCAUGAUUCACAGGUUCAUUCCCGCUGGUUGUGCCAAUCACUACUGUUCUUCAUUGAUUGCUGGUUCAGAUUUGAUAAAAUUAACUGGAUUUUGAAGAUUUUGAGGAGGACGUGUGUUGUAUCUCAGUUUCAUCCGAGGAAGAUAUUCUUUUUGAGAAAGAAAUAUCAGUUGAGAUUGGACAUGGGAGUGUGCUAAUGAAGAAUCUACAUUCCUUUGCUCGGGAAGAGGUGAAUAAAACCAGCUCACUCUCUUCAGUUGAAAACAAGUCAUUCAUCAGUGAAUCAGUGAUGCAUACUCACAUUCCUUGAAGCGUGUUGAUAUUGGAGCAAUAAGAGAGAUUCAAAGUAUGUUGGAAAAGCAAUAAAGCAAGAGCAACUCAAGAGGACCAAGACUAAAACUGGAAGAGUGCUUGUCCUUGGGAGCUAUAAUUCAUCACUUUGUAGUAUAGACUUCAAGGUGUGUUUCAAACGACUCUGUUAAUGUGUUGAAUAUCUGCAUUUACAAGUCUCAUAUUUAAGAAUUUGUGACAAUGGCCGUGAAAAAUGAUACUUCAUUGUAGGA